AGGUUGGGUGAGUAGUCGUAAAUAUGUUGUCUUAAUGUUUGUUUUAAAAUGUGUCCUGUCUUCUUUAUUAAUCAGAUUAGCGCUGUGUGUUUAUUCGCUUAAUUAUAUCUGUCUUUGCUUUUCAUUGUGUUUAACUAAAGGAACACACCUGCUAACUGGGGCGAUUAAACUCUGUCUGUCACGUGACAUAUAUAGACCUUCCAUCAGUUUUAUAUUCAUAUCAGGUUCAAAGAUGUAAGUUGUAUUUGUAGUAAAAUCAUGGUAACCACAACACUUACAACAGUUGUUGUUAGAUUAUAUAUUGAAUUCUCUGCCAGAUAUUACUGAGAGUCUUCCUGUUUGUGCUUUCUCUCUCCCUCCUAUCUACUGUACUCCCCCUCCCUAUACCUCUUUGUUUUUGAAGUAUAUAUAUAGUUUGAAUAACAGGAUGAAUUUAGGAAUAGGUUACACCCAGAUCUAAAUCUGAUAUUUCAUUAUAUGCACAAUAAGGUCUUUCACUGCAUGAAAACACUAAUUUCCGGGAUAAAUCGGACAAUGGAAAUUUCAGUGAAACUUAAGGUGUACGACCCGUGUACGAAAAUUCCCCAGGCAACGUGUGCCGAGUCCGUACACGUCCAUACACUCGCGAUGCACUGAGAUUUUCGGAUACAGGAUAUUUCUGACUGCACACACUAGACGUGUUCAGAGAUUUCCAGUAUAACGGCCAUAUUUGUAUAACCACAGUUUUACAACCAAAACACUUGUUUUUAACUAUAAUAGCCAUGUUUUUAUGUAACAUGGUUAACUGUCAUAAGGAGCAAGCACUGUUUUUUGGGGUGUUCAUCGAUUAAAAAUGAAUCGACCAGUCAUCCGUAGGCAAGGUUAAAUGAAUCCGAAUUGAAUGAAUCUAAAUGUGUCUUUUGAUUAACAGAAUCACACAAUUUGAGUGAGAUUAAUAUAAAUCCACACAUUCGCGGGUAGUGUUGGAUCACGGGGUUUGUUAUAGUUUGGUAAUCGAGGUAAUGAACACAGCUAUACCACGCACGGACAUUUCAGGCCUCGCAUAUGAAGCUGAAUCACCCGAGAUUCUCAAUUUUUUACGCCCGUGAAUCGAAUCUUUUUGGAAUCGACUCUGAGCAUCACUGUUCUUUGCGCGCGCGCUGACGGAGUCCGGUAUUUUAUGAGAGAUUUACCUCAGACGAAGGUAAGUGCGAAUAUAUAAAACCAUUUUAAAUAACAUGUUUAUAAGUACAUAACAUUAAAAGUUGUUCGAUGCUGUAAUAUUUUUAAACUGUAUUUCUAGCAUGACGUUGUUAAGCGUCCUUCAUUCCCGCUUCAGCUGCUCCGUUGUUGUGCGCGCUGAUUUUCUGAGAGAUUUACCACAGACGAAGCCCGGUGCUGUUUCGAGCCGUUCGUUCCGCUUCAGCGGGCUUCAGUCAGCGCGUGACAGCCGUCGAGUGUUUUCAGAGAGAUUUAUGUCAGAAGAAAACACAUUCUCCUGAACUGCUUUCAGAGGCUCCAAACACUGCAGCUGACUUUGGAUUCACCUGAGACAGCCUCUGAGGAGAAAUGUUAGAAAGUCAGUGCUGCCAUUCUUCUGGAAAACUGCUGCUCUUCAAAGAACAGUCAUCAAUCAGGAUCCUCUGUUUCCAGACCCAACCAUUCAUCUGAAGGACUGUGAAAAUAUGACAGAACCACCAGUGACAACAAAAUAAAUAGAAAGGACAUGGCAGAGGAAGAUAGGGGUAUUGAUAUUUCACUGAACUUAGUCUGCUGUACUCACUGUUUCACACAUACGGUUGUGGUCAAAAGUUUACAUCACAUUGCAGAAUAAGCAUAAUGUUAUUAAACAAAAUAAGUUAUUAUUAUUAUUAUUAUUAUUAUUAUUAUUAUUAUUUAGGGCUUGAUUAAAAAGAAAAGGAAUAGUGUUUCAUGUUUGUUUUGUGAUGGUGUUUCAUGAGUCCUUUGUUUGCCCUGAGCAGUUCAACUGCCCGCUUUUCUUUUAGAAAAAUCCUCAAGAUCCUGCAAGAUCCUUCUCAGGUGUUCCAGCAUCUUUUCAUGUGAACCCUUUUCAGCAGUGACUAUGAUUUCGGAUCCAUCUUUUCACACUGAGGACAAUUGAGGGACUCAUACAUAACUAUUACAAAAGGUAAACACAUUUACUGAUGCUCAAGAAAGCAACACAAUGCAUUAAAGGAACACUUAGCUUUUUUUUGCUAAUAGCUUAGCAUAGAUCAUUGAAUCAGAUUAGAUUGAGUCCUUCAGUUUUCCUCAGAGUGAAACAGUGGAUCUCAAAAUCAUAAAUCAUUGUUGGAUGGGACAAAUAUGCAAAAGAUGCUGGAAAACCAAAGAAUUUGCUUGACUUGGAGAAUUUUUCUGAAGAACAGCAAGCAAAACACUGUAAGCAUAAGAAGAUUGUAGAACCUGCAGCCAUCACGGGACUUGUGAAAAACAUAAAACAUAAAAACUGUGGGUCAUCCGGGUAAUCUCACAGUAUUAAGAAUCAAGUGUAUGUAAACUUUUGAACUUUUUUAUAAAUUAUAUAUUUUCAUUUUUAUAAAUUCAGUUUAAUUUUUUAUUAAUUCAGUAUAUGGAAUUAUCUUUUAUAUCUGUAAAAACUGUUUAUUCAGUACAGUACUAAAAAAUAGCAUGCAAUGUUCGUGAUCUCUCUUUGGUUAAAAUGAUUGCAUGUUCUGCUAAGGGUGUGUCAAUUUAUGAGCAUAACAGUAUCAUCUGUAGCUUCUGAAGGGCAGGAUUAAAUGGAAAAAAAAUGGCAUGGUCCUGAUGGUGUAGAGUAUGUGUGAGUGACUGAGAUGGAGCAGCAAUCACUGCCCUGACUUUGCAGUGUCCAUUGCAAGUGUAUUUGUUAUUAUGUUUGUUUUUGAUAAGUAUAUUUUUUUGUUUCUUUUCUUUUUUUAUUUUUUAAUAAUUUAAUUAUUUAAUCGGUGUAAUGAUUUACUUGAACUGUGUUAUAUGUCUGUGUUUGCAAAAUAUUUUUCUCAAUCUAAAUGAUUAGUUAAAUGUAGCAGUCCUGUUGCAUUUGUUGAAUAAUAUUUGCAGUCCUGUUAAAUGUUUGCAGUCCUGCAUUUGCUGAAAAAAUAAAAUAAGAGUUUUGUUGA